UCACUCACCAGUGAGAAACGGCUGAGGAGAAGCUGCAGUCCGGUACUAUGGAGAGCUGCAAUGACUGAUUCCAGGAACCAUACAAAACAGACUCACCUACUUCCAACUCAGUAUGCUCUGAUUACAGUCUGCACGGGACUUGCAUGUUGAAUACCUGGCAGAGUUGACAGUUGCUACAUUUCUUCCUGUGAUGCUAUCGAUGAUUUAAAAAACAGCUCCACAGUGUACCUUUAAGGCUUCCAGUAACUUCUACCAAAUUGUUGAUUUUCUGGCUUCCAAAUGGUGCAAAGGUGUGAACCAAAACUCCGAGCCUCACUUUAUUUAGUGAGUGAUGAUGACACAGAUGAUAACCAUGUUUCUGCUACUGUCAGGUUCACUGCCGAACAAGAAAGAGCAUGGCUAUAUGCAGGAACAACAGUAAAGUGAAUAUCUUCGGCAUGUGGACAAAACAAGACAUCUGAGGACAUCAUCUUGGACUUUGUUAUGGACUGACAUUUUAUACUAUUCGUUUAAUCAAGAAAUGAAUCGCAAUCAUAAACAGAUUACUCAAUGAUGAGCUUAACCAUUAGUUGCAGCCCUAGGCUAAUGAACACAAAUGCCAGCAUAAUUCAAUACAUUUUGACAAAAGAAACAGAUUCAACACCUUUAAAAAAUGGUUUCAACAAAAACUGGUCAUUUAUUGUAAGAAUGUGAAGUGAGAUGUCUGCACAGAGACCAAGAACACUAAAAGACAACACCCACCCAGCCAGUGUGUUCACCCUGCUGCCAUCUGACAAUAGAUACAGAAGUAUCGCUGCCAUAUCACUGGACUACAGAGCAGCGUCUUCCCUCAGACUUAGAGACUUCCCUAUUCAUCAACACUCCAUGUAAAAUAGAUAUCCCUGUGUGGCAUAAAGGGACUACAAUUUAAUUUCAUUGUACAAACCAGUGUUGUAAUACGACAAAUAAAUUAACCUUCAACUCUCUUGUAUUAGACUUGCUUAGUUUUAACUAGAUGCAGCUAAUGAACUGCCAGCUGAGUGUAGAUGAUGUUAAGGAGUUGCUAUCUGGAUUCAAGGCAGAGGAGUAUGUUACAAAAAUCCAAACUGAGCUAUUUUAUUUCUAUAUUAUAAUAAUUUCAUCUCCUGAAUGUAAAAUGUUUAUGUACAGUACAUUAAAAAUGUGAAACUUUUCUUUUCA